rnacentral:sRNA from 1 species
AUUUUUUUUUUGUGAAAUCAUUUUCUUAAAUUUUUCAAAUUUUUUUGGUUUUUCUAUGCCUUAGAUGAAUGCAGACUCAAGAGUAUAUACAAUGCAACACACACUUCCUGAGCCCUCCCCCAAACUUAAAUCACACAGUCCACUAUGUGAAUAAACUUGGAAGAGAGUACUCGGGACAAAUCCAAUCACAAAAACAAAAUAAAGAACAAAUUACAAGAGAUGAUAUAAUACAAUGGUGAAGUGAGGCGCUUACCUCAGUCGAAGAAUGAACGAAGUUGGUCGUCAAUGGCUGCCUGUGAUUGCUCCCAGGCCAUAGACGAACUGCCCUGUUCUGUAUCAGCUCCAGCAGGUGGGUACUCGACCUCAUCAGCUCUGUGGCGGCCAACACCGCUCUGAGGAUACUCGACCUCUCUUCUUCUUCUGCGGCCAGCACCGCGGUCGCGUAAACUACAAGACUGCAGAAGUCGUCUGCUCUUGCUGCUAGAUCGAGUGAGUGUGGUCCUCCACUUCCUCCCUGAUUCACGAGGCUCGAAUAAAGAAUGCCUCGCAGGGACAUGCGAAAUCUCCUGCUCUCUAUGCUCAGGCCUGCGCCGACUUGGCUCAGGCGCGUCAUAUCUCCUCGAGGGCAUGUCCGGAGGGAGUUGUCCCUGCGGAAUAGCUGUAGUGGAAGAGGAGCAGCUGAUCUUGUCCUUCAGAAACUGGAUAGCCCUGAGGCAUUUGGCGAGUAACUUAUCCUGUUUCUUGCACCACUUCUGCAGCUUGCUAUUGUUCCUGUGAGAUUCGCUCAAACUCUUGCUUUCCCUCGCUGGAGGUAUAUGCUCACUAAAAUGAUACAUGCUCGUGUCAAACACCGCCUCAUCUACAUCAUCUGUCUCAUCAACAUCUUCUUUUGUAGGUCCUUCGGUGUGACUAAUCUCCUCAGUCUGCGGACUGCCCUCGAAAUAAAGAUCUUCAAGCGCAGGCUUGAAGUCAAUGUUCCUUUGCUCGAGAAUCCUAGUAGCGUCAAUGCAGGGGAGAAGAAUGUUGGCGAUUCGAAUCGAUGAAUGCUCGAAUCUGUAGCGGUGAAAGUCGCCAACCAUGUCAAACUCCAAGAACUCACAUCAGCGCAAGUGAUCCAAGUCCAUCAUUCUCGGUGCUAACCCUGGCUCCUUGAGCGGUACUCCACAAGCUUCCAAAAUUGGCAUCACAACGCCACCCACGCAUAGUGCUGCCUCUCACCUUCUUCUUGCCGUUUAUCAACGCCCACUUCCUGUAUCCACACAGGUGGAUCAACAGAGGCAUUACUGGUGGUGCGUUGUUGAGAUCGCCUCUCAAGACAUUCUUUCCCUUUGUACGGCGGAGAAUCCCUGUAAGCGCGAAAUCUAUCAUCUCCAUGUCCGUGUUAGACACGGUGCCUGUGGACUCCCUCGAGUAGAAAACGUUGGCAACCGAGCACUGAAAGUAGCGGAUCACAGGACUCCGGAUUUGGUUGCUUUUGGACCGUGCCGAGUUUAGCGAUAAUUGUUCCCAAUAGUAGCCCACAAAUCCUUAAGCUCUUCCUUGUCAAACCUGGGUUUGGUUCCCUUUCCACUAGUGAAACCAAACAGUUCUUCCAACUACUUGAUCGAAAGCUGAUACCGCUGUUCAUCCACUGAGAACGUCAAGAACCCUAACCCCAUGGUAUCCAGCUCAAAGUCCGUGAGACCCUCAUACAUCUCCACUUGCAGUAAAGGAACUCGAUUGUCUCCUCCUUAUAGGCAGCAUAAGGGUAAGACAUGAGUGUCUCCAGAUGACACUUCUCGAAUUGAUGCUGCACGUCCUCCAGUAACCCCAGCUCGACUAAAGUCUCAUAGUAGGGAUACCUCGUUCCCCAGAAGUCGUUCAUCUCAAAGAAUCUGACAUACUCCUCCACUGUAACCUCGUCGGGUUUGUUCAGCAGCUUCGUCUCCUUGUGCCAUGACUCUGGCUCAUACUCAGUUUCGAUAUCCUCAUCAAUCAGCUCAUAUCUACUCGACAUCACCCUCUUUCCUAUAGCGAUUUCAGCUCUUCUCUGAUUACGUCGAGCUGCGGAGCGUUCAAAUUCAUCCUUGAAGCUCUCGUAAACAUGUUGCUCUCUCUCCGGUCUAGUGACCAAGACUCAGCUUCGUUUACAUUAUAAUCAGGAUCCAUUGAGGAUUCUCCAUUGUAGUUACUCAUAAUGAAACCUGAAAACAAAUGAAACUCAAAGAUAAACGUUAAUACGUUAGUCCCAACUAAACCAAAAACACAAACCAACAGAGUAAAUCGGUCGAGUAUACCUAAACCGGUUCUGAAU